AGAGUUUGAUCAUGGCUCAGAUUGAACGCUGGCGGAAUGCUUUACACAUGCAAGUCGAGCGGCAGCGCGGGGCAACCUGGCGGCGAGCGGCGAACGGGUGAGUAAUGCAUCGGAACAUGUCCAUGUCGUGGGGGAUAGCCCGGCGAAAGCCGGAUUAAUACCGCAUACGCCCGAGAGGGGAAAGCCGGGGACCGUAAGGCCUGGCGCGAUUGGGUUGGCCGAUGUCCGAUUAGCUAGUUGGCGGGGUAAGAGCCCACCAAGGCGAUGAUCGGUAGCUGGUCUGAGAGGAUGAUCAGCCACACUGGGACUGAGACACGGCCCAGACUCCUACGGGAGGCAGCAGUGGGGAAUUUUGGACAAUGGGGGAAACCCUGAUCCAGCCAUUCCGCGUGAGUGAAGAAGGCCUUCGGGUUGUAAAGCUCUUUUGUCCGGAACGAAACGGUUGGCGUGAAUAUCGCCGGCUACUGACGGUACCGGAAGAAUAAGCACCGGCUAACUACGUGCCAGCAGCCGCGGUAAUACGUAGGGUGCGAGCGUUAAUCGGAAUUACUGGGCGUAAAGCGUGCGCAGGCGGUUUUGUAAGCCAGAUGUGAAAUCCCCGGGCUUAACCUGGGAAUGGCAUUUGGGACUGCAAGGCUGGAGUUUGGCAGAGGAGACUGGAAUUCCUGGUGUAGCAGUGAAAUGCGUAGAUAUCAGGAGGAAUACCGAUGGCGAAGGCAGGUCUCUGGGCUAUAACUGACGCUCAUGCACGAAAGCGUGGGGAGCAAACAGGAUUAGAUACCCUAGUAGUCC
rnacentral:rRNA from 1 species